rnacentral:rRNA from 1 species
UACGUAGGGGGCAAGCGUUAUCCGGAUUUACUGGGUGUAAAGGGAGCGUAGACGGUGAAGCAAGUCUGAAGUGAAAGGCGGGGGCUCAACCCCCGGACUGCUUUGGAAACUGUUUGACUGGAGUGCAGGAGAGGUAAGUGGAAUUCCUAGUGUAGCGGUGAAAUGCGUAGAUAUAUGGAAGAACACCAGUGGCGAAGGCGGCUCUCUGGUCUGCAACUGACGCUGAGGCUCGAAAGCAUGGGUAGCGAACAGG